AGAAGAAUGUAAAGAAGCAAACAAGUAACAAAACAAGCAUUCUAAGCUUUAGGAAUAUUAUCAACAACUUGUAGAAACCUAAAAAUUACCUCUACAAGACACAAGACUCAUCCAAACUUUUCUCUUUGACAAAGCGAGACACGAAAAUAAAGAUCCAAAAUAACUAGCUGAAUUUUAAAAUAAGACAAUGAAAAUAAUAUUACCCAAGAAAGAUCCAA
rnacentral:misc_RNA from 1 species